rnacentral:ncRNA from 1 species
AAAGGUUUGGUCCUAGCCUUACUGUUAAUUGUAAUUAAACCUACACAUGCAAGUUUCCGCUGUCCAGUGAGAAUGCCCUAAAAAUUAGCAACAAUUACCAGGAGCAGGUAUCAGGCACGCUACAGGCAGCCCAUUACACCUUGCUCAACCACACCCCCACGGGACACAGCAGUGACAAAAAUUAAGCAAUAAACGAAAGUUUGACUAAAUUAUAAUUAAUUAGGGGUGGUAAAUUUCGUGCCAGCCACCGCGGCCAUACGAUUAGCCCAAAUAAACAGAAAAACGGCGUAAAGCGUGUUUAAGCACCACCAAAAAAAAAUAAAGUUAAUAUUAUUAUCUAAACUGUAAUACGCUCUAGUAAAUAUUAAAAUAAAUAACCAAAGUGACUUUAAUAAAGCUGAAAACACGACAGCCAAGACACAAACUGGGAUUAGAUACCCCACUAUGCUUAGCCAUAAACCCAAAUAAUUUUCCAACAAAACUAUUCGCCAGAGAACUACUAGCAACCGCUUAAAACUCAAAGGACUUGGCGGUGCCUUAAGUCCAUCUAGAGGAGCCUGUUCUAUAACCGAUAAACCCCGAUAAACCUUACCUCUCCCUUGCCAAUACUAGCCUAUAUAUCCGCCAUUCGUCAGCUCACCCUUAACAAGGAUAUUAAAGUUAAGCUGAGAUCAAUCCUAUUCAUUAAAAACGUUAGGUCAAGGUGUAGCAUAUGGAGAGGAAAGUAAUGGGCUACAUUUUCUAUCCUAGAAUACAACGAAUAUGCCUAAUGAAAACCGAGGUAUUGAAGGAGGAUUUGAGCAGUAAAUUAAGAAUAGAGAGCUUAAUUGAAUUUGGCAAUAAGGCGCGCACACACCGCCCGUCACCCUCCUCAAUUUACUUAAAAAAAAUUACUAAUAAGAAUUAAUCAUCUAAGAGGAGAAAAGUCGUAACAUGGUAAGUGUACUGGAAAGUGUACUUGGAAUA